rnacentral:rRNA from 1 species
GAUUCGUCACACUAUCAUUAACUGAAUCCAUAGGUUAAUGAGGCGAACCGGGGGAACUGAAACAUCUAAGUACCCCGAGGAAAAGAAAUCAACCGAGAUUCCCCCAGUAGCGGCGAGCGAACGGGGAGGAGCCCAGAGCCUGAAUCAGCAUGUGUGUUAGUGGAAGCGUCUGGAAAGGCGCGCGAUACAGGGUGACAGCCCCGUACACAAAAGCGCAUGUGCUGUGAGCUCGAUGAGUAGGGCGGGACACGUGGUAUCCUGUCUGAAUAUGGGGGGACCAUCCUCCAAGGCUAAAUACUCCUGACUGACCGAUAGUGAACCAGUACCGUGAGGGAAAGGCGAAAAGAACCCCGGCGAGGGGAGUGAAAAAGAACCUGAAACCGUGUACGUACAAGCAGUGGGAGCCCCACCACUAAGCCAGUGGUGAACUCCACAUCCGCAUCCUUUGCUGAGGAUACGGUUAACGGAG